GUCAGAGAGAGGGGGUGUGACAAGGUCAGAGAAAGGGACAUGAUGUGUUCUGAGAGAGGGACAUGACAAGGUCAGAGAGUGGGGUAGAGAGGGGUGUGACAAGGUCAGAGAGAGGGUGUGACAAGGUCAGAGAGAGGGGUGUGACAAGGUCAGAGAGAGGGACGUGACAAGGUCAGAGAGUGGGGCAGAGAGGGACGUGACAAGGUCAGAGAGAGGGACGUGACAAGGUCAGAGAGAGGGGUGUGACAAGGUCAGAGAGAGGGGUGUGACAAGGUCAGAGAGUGGGGCAGAGAGGGGUGUGACAAGGUCAGAGAGAGGGGUGUGACAAGGUCAGAGAGAGGGGUGUGACAAGGUCAGAGAGAGGGGUUUAACAAGGUCAGAGAGAGGGACGUG
rnacentral:lncRNA from 1 species